rnacentral:misc_RNA from 1 species
GAUGAAGAACGUAGCGAAAUGCGAUACGUAGUGUGAAUUGCAGAAUUCCGUGAACCAUCAAAUCUUUGAACGCAUAUUGCGCUCGAGGCUUCGGCCGAGAGCAUGUCUGCCUCAGCGUCGGCAUUACCCCUCGCUUCUCAACCCCUGGUUGAUGCCUGCCUGCCUUUGCAGUUGGCUAGAAGCGGAUCUGGCUUUCCCAAUUGCCUUUGGUAGUUGGGUCAGCUGAAGCACAGAGGCUUGAGCAAGGACCCUUAUUGGGAUUCAACUGGAUAGGUAGAACUGGUCUUAGGACCAACUACACGAAGUUGUUGCUUGUGGUCUUUUGUCUGGAGGCCAGCAGGAAACCUUUAUACCUUCGACCUGAGCUCAGGCAAGAUUACCCGCUGAACUUAAGCAUAUCAUAAGCGGAGGA